rnacentral:rRNA from 1 species
AGAGUUUGAUCCUGGCUCAGAGCGAACGCUGGCGGCAGGCCUAACACAUGCAAGUCGAACGAACUCUUCGGAGUUAGUGGCGGACGGGUGAGUAACACGUGGGAACGUGCCUUUAGGUUCGGAAUAACUCAGGGAAACCUGUGCUAAUACCGAAUGUGCCCUUCGGGGGAAAGAUUUAUCGCCUUUAGAGCGGCCCGCGUCUGAUUAGCUAGUUGGUGAGGUAAAGGCUCACCAAGGCUACGAUCAGUAGCUGGUCUGAGAGGAUGACCAGCCACAUUGGGACUGAGACACGGCCCAAACUCCUACGGGAGGCAGCAGUGGGGAAUCUUGCGCAAUGGGCGAAAGCCUGACGCAGCCAUGCCGCGUGGAUGAUGAAGGUCUUAGGAUUGUAAAAUCCUUUCACCGGUGAAGAUAAUGACUGUAGCCGGAGAAGAAGCCCCGGCUAACUUCGUG